GCUGGCGGCAGGCCUAACACAUGCAAGUCGAGCGGGAAACGACUUAACUGAACCUUCGGGGGACGUUAAGGGCGUCGAGCGGCGGACGGGUGAGUAAUCCUGGGAAAUUGCCCUGAUGUGGGGGAUAACCAUUGGAAACGAUGGCUAAUACCGCAUAAUGCCGUUCGGGGGCCAAAGAGGGGGACCCUUCGGGCCUCUCGCGUUAGGAUAUGCCCAGGUGGGAUUAGCUAGUUGGUGAGGUAAGGGCUCACCAAGGCGACGAUCCCUAGCUGGUCUGAGAGGAUGAUCAGCCACACUGGAACUGAGACACGGUCCAGACUCCUACGGGAGGCAGCAGUGGGGAAUAUUGCACAAUGGGCGCAAGCCUGAUGCAGCCAUGCCGCGUGUAUGAAGAAGGCCUUCGGGUUGUAAAGUACUUUCAGUCGUGAGGAAGGUAGUGUAGUUAAUAGCUGCAUUGCUUGACGUUAGCGACAGAAGAAGCACCGGCUAACUCCGUG
rnacentral:rRNA from 1 species